rnacentral:rRNA from 1 species
UGGGGAAUAUUGCACAAUGGGCGCAAGCCUGAUGCAGCCAUGCCGCGUGUAUGAAGAAGGCCUUCGGGUUGUAAAGUACUUUCAGCGGGGAGGAAGGCGAUAAGGUUAAUAACCUUGUCGAUUGACGUUACCCGCAGAAGAAGCACCGGCUAACUCCGUGCCAGCAGCCGCGGUAAUACGGAGGGUGCAAGCGUUAAUCGGAAUUACUGGGCGUAAAGCGCACGCAGGCGGUCUGUCAAGUCGGAUGUGAAAUCCCCGGGCUCAACCUGGGAACUGCAUUCGAAACUGGCAGGCUAGAGUCUUGUAGAGGGGGGUAGAAUUCCAGGUGUAGCGGUGAAAUGCGUAGAGAUCUGGAGGAAUACCGGUGGCGAAGGCGGCCCCCAGGACAAAGACUGACGCUCAGGUGCGAAAGCGUGGGGAGCAAACA